CCCCAGACUCCUACGGGAGGCAGCAGUGGGGAAUAUUGCACAAUGGGGGGAACCCUGAUGCAGCGACGCCGCGUGGGUGAAGGAGCACCUCGGUGCGUAAAGCCCUAUCGGCAGGGAAGAAAAGCGAACAGGUUCGCCUGGACGGUACCUGACUAAGAAGCCCCGGCUAACUACGUGCCAGCAGCCGCGGGAAUACGUAGGGGGCGAGCGUUAUCCGGAUUUACUGGGUGUAAAGGGAGCGUAGACGGUUCUGCAAGUCUGAAGUGAAAGCCCGUGGCUUAACCGCGGAACGGCUUUGGAAACUGUGGAACUGGAGUGCUGGAGAGGCAAGCGGAAUUCCUAGUGUAGCGGUGAAAUGCGUAGAUAUUAGGAGGAACACCAGUGGCGAAGGCGGCUUGCUGGACAGUAACUGACGUUGAGGCUCGAAAGCGUGGGGAGCAAACAGGAUUAGAGACCCCGGUACAA
rnacentral:rRNA from 1 species